rnacentral:rRNA from 1 species
AACGAACGCUGGCGGCAUGCCUAACACAUGCAAGUCGAACGAGACCUUCGGGUCUAGUGGCGCACGGGUGCGUAACGCGUGGGAACCUGCCCUUAGGUUCGGAAUAACUCCCCGAAGGGGUGCUAAUACCGGAUAAUGUCUUCGGACCAAAGAUUUAUCGCCUUUGGAUGAGCCCGCGUUGGAUUAGCUAGUUGGUAGGGUAAAAGCCUACCAAGGCGACGAUCCAUAGCUGGUCUGAGAGGAUGAUCAGCCACACUGGGACUGAGACACGGCCCAGACUCCUACGGGAGGCAGCAGUGGGGAAUAUUGGACAAUGGGCGAAAGCCUGAUCCAGCAAUGCCGCGUGAGUGAUGAAGGCCUUAGGGUUGUAAAGCUCUUUUACCCGGGAUGAUAAUGACAGUACCGGGAGAAUAAGCUCCGGCUAACUCCGUG